rnacentral:rRNA from 1 species
UACAGAGGUGGCAAGCGUUGUUCGGAAUUACUGGGCGUAAAGGGCGCGUAGGCGGCCUUCUAAGUCGGACGUGAAAGCCCCAGGCUUAACCUGGGAACUGCGUCCGAUACUGGGAGGCUUGGAUUCGGGAGAGGGAUGUGGAAUUCCAGGUGUAGCGGUGAAAUGCGUAGAUAUCUGGAGGAACACCAAUAGCGAAGGCAGCUCGCUGGGACGUUACUGACGCUGAGGAGCGAAAGCGUGGGGAGCGAACAGG